rnacentral:tRNA from 1 species
GCAGAGAUGGCUCAGUGGUUAAGAGCACUGGCUGUUCUUCCAGAGGACCUGGGUUUGAGUCCCAGCUCCCACA